GGGCGGUUAGCUCAGGGGUAGAGCACUGCCUUCACACGGCAGGGGUCACUGGUUCGAUCCCAGUAUCGCCCA
rnacentral:tRNA from 1 species